rnacentral:tRNA from 2 species
GGCUAGCUCAAUCGGUAGAGCGUGAGACUCUUAAUCUCAAGGUUGUGGGUUCGACCCGUAAGUCU